UACGGAGGGGGCAAGCGUUGUUCGGAAUUACUGGGCGUAAAGGGCGCGUAGGCGGGACGGUCAGUCAGGUGUGAAAUCCCCGGGCUCAACCUGGGAACUGCACUUGAUACUGCCGUGCUAGAGUCCGGGAGAGGGUAGUGGAAUUCCCAGUGUAGAGGUGAAAUUCGUAGAUAUUGGGAAGAACACCGGUGGCGAAGGCGGCUACCUGGACCGGUACUGACGCUGAGGCGCGAAAGCGUGGGGAGCAAACAGG
rnacentral:misc_RNA from 1 species